UGGAUGGAAAAGUAAAACUGUAAAAUAUAUUCCCUUCAGGUUCUCCUUUGAAAACAAGACUUCAAGGUAAUUAAAACCAGGCAUGGCAACCACAACACCUUCAUCAUAUCGUAUUGCGAAGAAAAUUACCCGCCACUACAAUCAUAUCUCGUUUUUACGUACAUGGCUCAUAAAAGAAUAUCCCGCUCUUUGACUUAUUUAUUACAGAGGAGAAAAAAAUGAAAGCAGUUGCUCAUCCACAAACCUAACACUGCUCAUUGUCACGGCGGUGGUACUGAUAUUCUUUUUUCUUCCGGUGGGUUUUAUCGUCUACUGGUGUACGAAAAAAAAUUAUCUGCAAUGUCAGGGAGAAGGAUUACUGGGCGCUCCCGCCAGGGCAACGACGAUACAAGCAAUUACAUACAGGUAAAGUAAUCGCUGCACACAGGGAUAGUUUAUGAAUAAGUUUCAUAGAUAAGAUUGUUAGUCUGGGGCCGGUUUUUCGAAGCCAGAGAUCAAAUACGUUCCCAUCUAAGCUGAACACACAUCAUAUGCAAUUCAUUUGCAAUUAUUAUGCAUGCAGUUCUUUUGGAAAUUGAACAUUCAAGUCUCUUAUCAGUUCACCGUUUAAGCUAAACAUCUUUCUUGGGUAGGGGCGUAAGCGAAUCGUUGUAAGGGCGUCAAUAUUUUAAAACUUCCGGCUGCAUGUCAUUUUCAUCAUUAUUGCCAUAGUAUCCUGCACAGAAUGUUUUGCACAAACCUUGUCUCGAUUGACACUGGCGGCCUGGCCCCGCCAAUGUUCUUGCUGGCCCCCCUUCCCCAAAAUCCUGGCUACGCCUCUGCCCGUGUGAUUCAAUUUUUUGAUUGAAAUUCAAUGCACCCCGAACAAAACAUUGAAUACUGUUAUAAAGUACUGUUUACAGGUCAGCUCCUGCAAAAUCAAACCUCUUCUUUUCUUAUGAAACUCGUGGAGCUGCUCACUCCUGAAGGUAGGCCAAACUGGAAAGAUCUAGCGGCAAAUUUUGGCGAUUUCGCUUACGAGGAAAUCGCGAACUUCGGAGUUGGCAAAACUACAGUGGAGACCAAAAUCACGUCAACCAUCGACAAAUUAUAUAGAUGUUGUCUCAACAUUAAGAAGGAAGAUGUGGCGACGUACAUUGCCGAUUGUGUAAGCCAAAUAACAGACACUACACUUGUGUAGACAAUUGGCCUUUUUUGACAGGCGAUAUCCGCCGUUUCCUGCAUGCCUAUAUGGGUACCAAGUGAGCACACGACUUCGUUUCGACGUGGAAUUUUGGUUGAACUUUUGU